UAGAACGCUCUGGAAAGUGCGGCCAUAGUGGGUGAUAGCCCCGUAUAUGAAAGGUUCUGGGAAGUGAAAUCGAGUAGGACGGAGCACGAGAAACUUUGUCUGAACAUGGGGGGACCAUCCUCCAAGGCUAAAUACUACUGACUGACCGAUAGUGAACCAGUACCGUGAGGGAAAGGCGAAAAGAACCCCGGAGAGGGGAGUGAAAUAGAACCUGAAACCGUAUGCGUACAAGCAGUGGGAGCCUACAUUGUUAGGUGACUGCGUACCUUUUGUAUAAUGGGUCAGCGACUUAUAUUCAGUGGCGAGCUUAACCGAAUAGGGGAGGCGUAGCGAAAGCGAGUCUUAAUAGGGCGUUUAGUCGCUGGGUAUAGACCCGAAACCGGGCGAUCUAUCCAUGAGCAGGUUGAAGGUUAGGUAACACUGACUGGAGGACCGAACCCACUCCCGUUGAAAAGGUAGGGGAUGACUUGUGGAUCGGAGUGAAAGGCUAAUCAAGCUCGGAGAUAGCUGGUUCUCCUCGAAAGCUAUUUAGGUAGCGCCUCACGUAUCACUCCAGGGGGUAGAGCACUGUUUCGGCUAGGGGGUCAUCCCGACUUACCAAACCGAUGCAAACUCCGAAUACCUGGAAGUGUCAGCGUGGGAGACACACGGCGGGUGCUAACGUCCGUCGUGAAAAGGGAAACAACCCAGACCGCCAGCUAAGGUCCCAAAGUUGUGGUUAAGUGGUAAACGAUGUGGGAAGGCUUAGACAGCUAGGAGGUUGGCUUAGAAGCAGCCACCCUUUAAAGAAAGCGUAAUAGCUCACUAGUCGAGUCGGCCUGCGCGGAAGAUGUAACGGGGCUCAAACCACACACCGAAGCUGCGGGUGCAUCG
rnacentral:rRNA from 1 species